GCUUGUCUCAAAGAUUAAGCCAUGCACGUCUAAGUAUAAAUAUUUCACUUUGAAACUGCGAAUGGCUCAUUAUAUCAGUUAUAGUUUAUUUGAUAAUUGAAAAUUACAUGGAUAACCGUGGUAAUUCUAGAGCUAAUACAUGCUAUCAAGCCCGACUUCUUGAAGGGUUGUAUUUAUUAGACUUAAGCCAAUAUUCCUUGUGUCUAUUGCGAUGAUUCAUAAUAACUGAUCGAAUCUCAAAUUUGAGAUAAAUCAUUCAAGUUUCUGCCCUAUCAGCUUUCGAUGGUAGUGUAUUGGACUACCAUGGCAGUAACGGGUAACGAAGAAUUAGGGUUCGAUUUCGGAGAGGGAGCAUGAGAAACGGCUACCACAUCUAAGGAAGGCAGCAGG
rnacentral:rRNA from 1 species